UACGUAGGGGGCAAGCGUUGUCCGGAUUUAUUGGGCGUAAAGAGCUCGUAGGUGGUUCGGUAAGUCGGAUGUGAAAUCUCCAGGCUCAACCUGGAGGGGUCAUUCGAUACUGCCGUGACUAGAGGUCGGUAGGGGAGUGUGGAAUUCCUGGUGGAGCGGUGAAAUGCGCAGAUAUCAGGAGGAACACCGGUGGCGAAGGCGGGUCUCUGGGCCGAUACUGACACUGAGGCGCGACAGCGUGGGGAGCAAACAGG
rnacentral:rRNA from 1 species